rnacentral:ncRNA from 2 species
AGAGUUAAAUAGUACGUGAAAUUGCUAAAAGGGAAACGCUUGAAAUCAGUGCCGCGUUUGGAAAAUCAGUUGUCUCUACGAGAUGAUGCACUUUUCUUAACGCAGGUCAACAUCAGUUUGAAUUCGUGGACAAAGCCGCGGGAAGGUAGCUGAUCCUUCGGGGUCAGUGUUAUAGCCCGCGGUAAUGCACGGAUUUGGACUGAGGCCGGCAGCGCUCACUUGGGGCUACUCGUACUCUCUGGUUGCAUCUGUCUGGACUGCACGCAGACCAGACGGCGGCAAUUAGUCUGUGCGGGCCAGCUCACACCAGCGCUUAGGAUGUUGACGAAAUGGUUUUAAUCGACC